UACGGAGGGGGCUAGCGUUGUUCGGAAUUACUGGGCGUAAAGCGCGCGUAGGCGGCUACGCAAGUCAGAGGUGAAAGCCCCGGGCUCAACCCCGGAACUGCCUUUGAGACUGCGUCGCUCGAAUACGGGAGAGGCGGGUGGAAUUGGUGGUGUAGAGGUGAAAUUCGUAGAUAUUCGGAAGAACACCAAUGGCGAAGGCGGCCCGCUGGACCGGCAUUGACGCUGAGGUGCGAAAGCGUGGGGAGCAAACAGG
rnacentral:rRNA from 1 species